UGGUAAGACGGGGGAUGAGGCGGGGGGAAUAGUUGGGUCCCGGGGUUUGUCCGGAGUUAUUGGGCGGAAAGCGAGGGCAGGUGGGUGUAUAAGUCGGAAGUAAAAGGCAGGGGCUCAACCAUUGUGGGCUUUGGAAACUGUACAACUUGAGUGCAGAAGGGGAGAGUGGAAUUCCAUGUGUAGCGGUGAAAUGCGUAGAUAUAUGGGGGAACACCGGUGGCGAAAGCGGCUCUCUGGUCUGUAACUGACACUGAGGCUCGAAAGCGUGGGGAGCAAACAGGAUUAGAUACCCUGGUAGUC
rnacentral:rRNA from 1 species